rnacentral:rRNA from 1 species
GUGGGGAAUCUUGCGCAAUGGGCGAAAGCCUGACGCAGCCAUGCCGCGUGAAUGAUGAAGGUCUUAGGAUUGUAAAAUUCUUUCACCGGGGACGAUAAUGACGGUACCCGGAGAAGAAGCCCCGGCUAACUUCGUGCCAGCAGCCGCGGUAAUACGAAGGGGGCUAGCGUUGCUCGGAAUUACUGGGCGUAAAGGGCGCGUAGGCGGACAGUUUAGUCAGAGGUGAAAGCCCAGGGCUCAACCUUGGAAUUGCCUUUGAUACUGGCUGUCUUGAGUACGGGAGAGGUGAGUGGAACUCCGAGUGUAGAGGUGAAAUUCGUAGAUAUUCGGAAGAACACCAGUGGCGAAGGCGACACACUGGCUCAUUACUGACGCUGAGGCGCGAAAGCGUGGGGAGCAAACAGGAUUAGAAACCCGUGUAGUCC